GGAUGUUUAAAUACUUUUCAGCAAGACAAAAACCUGAUUAAGAAAAUUAUUUUUGCAGUUUCACCGUCAGUAAAAAACAAACAUGGACUGCAUAUGUUGAAGAUUUGUCAAAAUGCCUGUAUUCUUUCUGUCUUUUUCUUUCUCUCUCCCUCUCUCUUUCUCUCUCUGUAUGAUUAUGUCUCUUGACCUUCAGCAGACAACCAGCAUGCUGAGAGAGCGGUUUAGUUUCCUAACAAUGGAAGAGGUGGAAGAGCUUUAAUUGCAGUCCCUUGGCCUGCUCUCUCUCCCUCUCUUCCUUUUUCUCUCUUUAUCUUGUUUUUUUUAUUUUUUUUUAUGAGUGUGUUGUAGAAGAAAUGGGAGAGAGAGAGGCCUGUACGACCUGCUGAUAGAAAAGGGAUUAUUGCAGCACAAGACAAGCUGAGACCUGAAACUUCUGAAGUACUGAAAACUGUGCAACAUCAACAGUGGUGCUGAAACCCGGGAGGGAGGAGGGCGCUGUCAGGUAGAGUCCUCGCCGCUGCCAUCUGCCAGGGGAGCAGCUGCAGCAGUCUGCCUGGGGACGGAGAGGUCGCUGCCGGCCACCGAGAGCGGGAGGCACCGCUGCCGUCCGCCGAACAAGGGGAGGAGUGGUUCCGUCCACCGGAGGACUCGCUGCUGUCCGCCGGGGGAGGAGCGAACUGGCGUUAAAAUGCACCUGUAACAGGUAAAGGUUUGCAGGAGGCAGGGUGGACCACCGGCUGACAGAGCGGCAGGAAGGGCAAUGUCUCCCCUUCAGAGAUGAGGGGAAGUUGGUCAGAUCAGUGGCGCCCUGGCCUGAAUCGGGUGGGGGAGGAGUAUGAUGAGGAGGAGGACGUGGCCGGCUGCUGAUCAGCGGGAGAUCGAGAUAAAGGGGAGCUGGAGGCGCCAGUUCAAGAGAGAGAGAGGUACACGCAGCCGCGUUGCAUGUGUGUCUGUGUCCUUAUGUUUUAUGUUGUUUUAAGUUAAUGUAUAUCAUUAACGUUUAUGUUUACUGUUCAGCUGGUUCCCGCCUCCUCCUUGCCCACCUUUACCUGUUACAGGUGCAUUUUGAACUGUUCUGAGACCAGUGAAGAUAGACAGCACACUGGAGGUUAAGUCAUUCACUAAAUAUGAAGUUACUGUUUACAAACAAACGCUCUGACACUUACAGGUUCUUUUUGAAGUAGAGAAAAUAACUGCAGUCUAUGGCGCUUUGCUCAAAUUGUGUUUGUUGGGUUGAAACAGCGUGUUUACGAAAGAUUUGGGCUUCUUUAAAUUUCUAUCAGGAUCGGUAGAUUAGGAUUAACUCAGGAUUUAACAUAAUGAUAUUUCACGGAUGACCGUCAUUGUUAUUGACAUUGCUAUGAUCACAAACCACUGUUUUUAAAAUCCAAAAUGCAAUCGUGUGACAAAUAUGAGGCUAAAUAUGAUCUAACGUGGAUCUUAUAUGAACAAAACCCAUGGGCCAUGGGAGGUCUAACGGGAAGAAUGGGACCCCGUCUCCACCAUCGCAACGCAUAUGCUGCUGUUUGUGAAAGGAUAUUGUAACAAGAUAAAUGGAAAGGAGGAGGCGAGAACCGGCUUGAUAAUAUAAAUAAAGGUUUAAUGAUACAUUUAACCAAAAGCACAAACACACACAGGUGUCGGACAGCUGUCCGUAACUCACUCUCUCUCACACUGCCGUCUCCGGUCGGCCUUAUCCCUCUCAGGCUUAAUCAGCCUAAUUAGGGUCCGGGUGUGCGGAAUCACGACCCGGCCACGCCCUCUGCCCUGCCACAGAUAUGUGAAUAAAAAUAAUGUGGUACUGCUAAAAUGAAUUUAAAUUUGUUUUGAGUGCAGUAAUUAACAAUUGUUCAAUCUAAAUUGGCUUAAAUGUUAUUUACUGUAUGGGGGUUAAUAAUUUAAGCAGUAAAGACGUAUAUUGUAUGACUGGUGGUAGUUUUAAUUUUUUCAGGCUUUAGAAGUGUGUUAAACAUGUGAGGAUGUGUAUUCAUCAACCUGUCUGACAUAAUCAUACAGGCAUAUUGAAUCAAGUUAAAAUGUUUGUAAAAUGUCAGUAUUAGAUUCAGAAUUUAUAUUGUAUAAUUUUAUGUUAACAUGGUUGGCAGUGAUUGGAUGAUGCUGGCCAUUACUUUGAAUCAGAAUUAAAUAUGCUUAUUUCUGAUUGGUAAAAUGCUUUGACAGUGCAA